rnacentral:rRNA from 1 species
UACGUAGGGUGCGAGCGUUGUCCGGAAUUAUUGGGCGUAAAGAGCUUGUAGGCGGUCUGUCGCGUCUGCUGUGAAAAUCCGGGGCUCAACCCCGGACUUGCAGUGGGUACGGGCAGACUAGAGUGUGGUAGGGGAGACUGGAAUUCCUGGUGUAGCGGUGAAAUGCGCAGAUAUCAGGAGGAACACCGGUGGCGAAGGCGGGAUCCUGGGCCAGUACUGACGCUGAGGAGCGAAAGCGUGGGGAGCAAACAGG